AUACAGUGUAGAAUGUCUCUUGCGAUAACACGCAAUUAAUACAACUUUCAACAACGGAUCUCUUGGCUCUCGCAUCGAUGAAGAACGCAGCGAAAUGCGAUACGUAAUGUGAAUUGCAGAAUUCAGUGAAUCAUCGAAUCUUUGAACGCACCUUGCGCCCCUUGGCAUUCCGAGGGGCACACCCGUUUGAGUGUCGUGAAAUUCUCAAAAGCCUUUCUUUUGAAAGGGUUUUGGACUUGGAGGCUUUUUGCUGGCUUUCACCUCGAAAGCGAGCUCCUCCCAAAUGAAUUAGUGGGGUCCGCUUUGCCGAUCCUUGACGUGAUAAGAUGUUUCUACGUCUCGGGUUUGGCGAUGCCUCUUGGGCACCUGCUUCCAACCGUCUCAUGGACAAUGAUGGCGUCCCGGUCACCACCGUUUUAUCGGUCGGGAGGCUUGGCCCACGAAAAAAACCUUGACCUCAAAUCGGGUGAGACUACCCGCUGAACUUAAGCAUAUCAAUAA
rnacentral:rRNA from 1 species